GUCAGGCAUGGUGGCGUGUGCCUGUAAUCCCACCUACUUAGGAGGCUGAGGCAGGAGAAUCACUUGAACCCAGGAGGAGGAGGUUGCAGUGAUCCAAGAUCGUGCCACUGCACUCUAGCCUGGGUGAUACAGUGAGACUCUGUCUCAA
rnacentral:SRP_RNA from 1 species